rnacentral:sRNA from 1 species
GGGUUGAUAUCUUUUGAAGAUGUGGCUGUGCACUUCACCUGGGAGGAGUGGCAGGACCUGGAUAAUGCUCAGACGACCCUGUACAGGAUGUGAUGCUGGAGACUUAAACAGCCUGCUAUCAUUACAGGAGUUGGUGUCCUUUGAGGAGGUAGCUGUGCACUUCACUGGGAGGAGUGGCAGGACCUGGAUGACGCUCAGAGGAAACUGUACAGGGACGUGAUGCUGGAGACCUACAGCAGCCUGGUAUCAUUGGGGCAUUGCAUUACCAAACCUGAGAUGAUCUUCAAGCUAGAGCAAGGAGCAGAGCCAUGGAUAGUAGAAGAAGCCCCAAACCUGAGACUUUCAGGCUAAGCCUCCCUCCUUUUGGUAGAGGCUUUUUUAUACCAUUUGGGAACUGGUUUGGAUAAGCUACCUUAAUGAAGGACCACACAUCCCUCCAGAGAUGAUAAAAGACUUUUUGUCUUUUUUGAUUUAAGAACACUUUAUCUCGUAAGCUACCUAUAGUUUACAAAAAUUCAGUAAAGUAUAAUUUUUUGAACAAAGAUGGAAGCAUUCAUUUCUUCUCCCUACUUGAUUCCUGCAAAAUUUGGAAAGUAUUUGUGAGUAUCCUUUUAUUUUUACUCGACCGAUAUCUGUUUCUCUUCAUAAACAGAAUGCCAUUGAAAACAUUGGUUAUAUUAUUAACGGUUUGACCAAAAUCUCAUAUUUAAGAAUGUGCAUAAAAUGCCUGGCUUCCAUUGCUUCCAGCCUGACAGUGAAUGAGUAAAACUUGUCACUUCUUGGCAGGCUCAAGAACUUUAAGAUUGGAAGUAAACUCUGAAACCUCUCUUGCUUUGGCCUCAAGAGGUUUUUAAACCUGAACUUUCUGUGGAUUAAUGUAGAGAGAAAGUUCUGUUUCUAAAGAAAAACUAUAAUGUGUCUGUUAGUAGAUUGUAAAUCUGUGCAUUCUUUUCAAGUUCUUGUUAUCUACGUGUAGAUUACACUAGAUCCUGAAUUUUCCUAACGUAUUUCUCCUAAUUUGGCAACAACUCUCCAACUAAAAGCAAAAGCUGCUCUGUUACUAAAGCCCUAUGAGCUGAAACUAGAUAAAUUUUAAAGAAUAAAUUUGUGCCUGGUGUAUGGAUCCCAGAAAGAGUUCACCAAACCAACUGAUGUCAUGACCAAAGACAUUCAAACUACAAAGCACUAGAAGUUAAUGUUUUCAUGCCAAUUUUCCCAGGUCAUUAGAACAGAUUUUCCCAGGUCAUUGGAACAAGACUCCAUGUGAUGAGAUUUUUACCCCUCCUCCUCCUUAAUGCUAUAUUUUUCACUUGGCAGAAUAAUGAUGUGAAUGAAAAUUCACAAUCAAUAGCUUAAGCUCAUAAGUAUCCUUUGGUUAAAUGAGAAAAUGACUGUGUUAUUGUCAAUACUAUAUGCUGUACUGGAUAAAUUUCUCCAGGAAAUUAGAAAUUUGUAGACACAAAAGAAGAAGACAGGCCACAGGGUUACACCAUCUCACCUGAUUCCCUAUGGUCAUUUGAUUUAUUCAAUUAGUUGUCUGUAAGCCUAGGUUAAUGGCUCAAAGCCAUUAUACAAACUAGAAUUUUCCUAUUACUAUUUACUUCAUAAUUUCCUUUUUUAAACUGUGUAUCCAUUACUUAAGUUUUUUUUUCAAAAGUACAACUCCUAACAGAAUAAUGCCGGUACAGCACUUUGAGAUGAUAGCAAAAGAUUGCAGAACAGACAAAAUCGAACUUAAUAAUGAACUCCAGGUAGACUUAGCCUGAAAACUACUCCCUUCAAAUCUCCCUUGUUGCUCCAAAUGUGCCUAAAAGGAUUUUGACACUGACUCUUAAGUGCCAAUUACCUCCUGCCUCAAUGUGACUUGCCUGGUGAUCAAAAACACGUAACAAAA